AGUACAUAAAAGACAUGGCCUGCUUGGUGGUGAGGAGCCGACCGCAUUGGGAACCUCCUGGAAUUUCUUCUAAACUCUUACAUAUCUGACUGAGAUUGCAAGUAACUUGGCUGAAAACUGCGAGGAUCCCAUGUGAGCCUCUGACACCUGCUCAUGAUGCCUUGUACAGUCAUCCUUUCUAAGACAUUUUCCAUCACUUGUCUUCCCUGGUCGUAGAUGUGCAACUCUUCAAACAGCUCCAUUCAUGUGCUGUUUGCUCUUGAGAAUGCCAAGAGGCUCAGCAACGGGCUCAGAGAGUUUAUUUUGAUCUUCCUUUGAAGACAAUAUUUCAGAGAGAGGGAGGUAGGUGGCAGAGGAAGACUGCAGCUUGAGAGAGGAAGUGGCUCGAUGCAAGGAGCAGCAAGAAAAUCAGGUUUUCAGCAGAGCACAAACAGUUUCCAAGUUUUCUCCCAGAACCUCAGACAUUUCAGCAGCCUAAAAGGGCCCAACUGUUGUGCCAUACCUCUGUGAAGUUGUUGGCAGAGAGGAUGUCACUGGAUAGAACAUGUGGCAGCUGUAAGAGAAGGAAAAUACCAAUGGUGUAGCCUUGCCUCUUCCCCUUCACUCAUCUGAAAGCUGCUGUAGAAAUACUCCUGUACCCUGAAGAAAUUGGGACUGUGCUUGGCUAAUAUUCAGAAUUCACUCAGGCACUGCAGCCACUCUGAGCCUGGGAAAUGAAGGCACAGGUUCUCCUUGCUGGAUCAAGCCCUUGUCCUCUGUCCACCCUGAGAAAAGCUGCUGAAUACCUGCAACGAAGAUACCUGCUAAUAAAAAUAUUUGGGAAUAUCAUAA